GUGCUUAUUAUGAUCCGGCCUAGAACGCACGACAUUCUACUCUCUUUGUAUUGAUGAGUCGGUUUGCUGUAAACAAUUCAUCCAGGUUCAAUUUAAACCUGUUUCUCUCAGCGUUCUUUUCGAUCAAGUCUGGAACGCACGAUCAUCUGCUCUCUUUCAUACGCUGGGCCGAUUUGGUACGUACAAAGGAAGCAGGUAAAAUCUGAACCUGUUUCUCGCAUCUGUUCUCUUUCAUACGAUGGGUCGAUUUGUAUGGACACACACACAUUCUGUCUAUGUGAGUGAUAACAGCGCAAGCCACUUGGUAACACCUGAGCCUUGAAGCACGAGAAGGAUAGAGAUUUGUGAUUGGUACGAAGCUAAUCGAAAAAAUACAAAUUCACUGUUACAAUGAAUAUUGUACCAUUGUUAAACGAGUCACGUACAAAAAAACUGGCUCGAAAUAAGAAACAAUGAGACAUAAAAAUUGUGAAAUGAAUUUAUGACAUAAGGAAUAUUUAUGAUAAAAAAUUCGUCAUUCAUCACACUAAUAAUGCGAUAGGAUUUUUUGUUAAUUCCAUUAUUUAAACACCAUAUGUUAAACCGAGCGUUCAAUAAACACUCCGACCGUAAGAAAACAAAUAAAAACGUUCUGGUCUUACUGAGAUUAGAACCCAGAACGACCGUAAUAUUUGCACAA